AACGAACGCUGGCGGCAGGCUUAACACAUGCAAGUCGAACGGACGUAGCAAUACGUUAGUGGCAGACGGGUGAGUAACGCGUGGGAAUAUGCCCUUUAGUUCGGCAUAACUCAGGGAAACUUGAGCUAAUACCGGAUCAUCCCGUGCGGGGAAAGAUUUAUCGCUGAAGGAGUAGCCCGCGUCUGAUUAGCUAGUUGGUAAGGUAAUGGCUCACCAAGGCGACGAUCAGUAGCUGGUCUGAGAGGAUUAUCAGCCACACUGGGACUGAGACACGGCCCAGACUCCUACGGGAGGCAGCAGUGGAGAAUAUUGGACAAUGGGGGCAACCCUGAUCCAGCCAUGCCGCGUGAGUGAUGAAGGCCUUAGGGUUGUAAAACUCUUUUGUCCGGGAAGAUAAUGACUGUACCGGAAGAAUAAGCCCCGGCUAACUUCGUGCCAGCCGCCGCAGUAAAAC
rnacentral:rRNA from 1 species